rnacentral:SRP_RNA from 1 species
CCGUGCAGCCGGGGAGAUAGCGGUGCCCUGUACCUGCAAUCCGCUAUAGCAGGGGUGAUGCCAAUCCGAGGGCUUUUCAUUGCAGAGCUGCCUUCUAUAAGUGACGUUGACGUCUGGGUCUUACGCAACAGGAAUCUGUGAACCGUGUCAGGGCAGGAAUGCAGCAGCACUAAGCAGAACCUUCUGUGUGCCGUAAGGGCGCCUGGGCCGAGUAGGCUGUAGGAGUAACGUCUGUGGUGAGGGUUCGACGUGCGGCGCACGG